GGUCUACAUUGUAUAUAAAAAAUAGAGAUUGUCCAUUUUGUUUUAUAUAUAUAUUAUAAUUAAAAAUGACUAAAAAUUUUAAUUUAGAGGGAUUUUUAUUAGCCUUUAUCAUUAUAAUUAAUAUUUUUUUAAUUCAUGGAGCCAUGGGAUGCUAUCAAUAUGAUCCUCAGAAUAAUAUAAUGAAUGAACAGCUCGUAUAUUUAAGAAGAACUAAUUUGGAAAUGUUCUGCUCCAAUAAAUGCAUUCUAAAUCAAUAUGUAUGUUGCAUAUGUCCAGUUACUAAUCAAGUCGGAUAGCGUCGAUUGGCAAGUUAUCAACCUCCUUAACUCGUUCAAUAUCAGCAUUCUUUAUAUUCAAAUAUUUUUAAAAAGAAAUAUCUAUUGCAAAAAUUAUACUUAUUAUUCGUGAUUGAAAGAUGAUAUUGGGAACACACCGCUCCUAAAAAUUUAUUAAUUAAAUUUUACUAUAUUUGUUAUAAUCAUUUUGUAUCAAAUGUUAUUAUAUUGUAAUAUUUUUAUAAAAUAAAAUACACACAUUUAUUUUAAAAGUGAUUGAAAGAUGGUAUUGGGAACACACCGCUCCUAAAAAUUUAUUAAUUAAAUUUUACUAUAUUUGUUAUAUUCAUUUUGCAUCAAAUGUUAUUAUUAUAUUGUAAUAUUUUUAUAAAAUAAAAUAAUACACACAUUUAUUUUAAAAAUUUAAUACGGGCAUUCUUUAUAAUAACGGAUGUUGGACUAAAAAAAUUUUUUUU